CUUUUGUUAACUGCAUACUUUGAUUAUAAUAUGUAUUCAAUCAUAUGUCAGUCUUGGGACUGCUUUGGACUAUUUUCUUGAACCGUGGAUCUAUCAAAAACAACCUCUCUACCUCUAAGGUCGAGGUAAGGUCUGUAUACAAUCUACCAUCCCCAAACUCCACUUUGCGGGACUACAUUAGGAUGUUGUUGUAAUCAUGUCUCUGUUCCAAGUUUAAUUGCAUACUUUUGGAAGCUAUCAAUUCUUAUCGGGUGUUAUAUUUGACAUGGAAAUGUAGUUUUUAAAUUUGCCAUAUUUGCUGCAUUUCUUUUUCUUUGGUAACAGUUGCUGCCUUUAGUUUUGAUACACCUUUACAUGUUUAAAGUUUGUGGCUUUCACAAACAAAAUUUUGUUAGGUGGGAAUUCCUUGAUGAUAAACUUUUUCUAGCCUAGUGUGGUGCAUGAAUUGCUCUGGAUUUUUGCUUACAUUGCCUUAAGAAACUUGUAGAAGUACUUUAGAAAACAACCUAGAGAUUCUAGGUCCGAAUCCCAACAAUACACCUGCUGUGAGACGAUCAACUGUAAAUUGUUGGAUUACUUUGGCAAUUUAUGCUUCUGAAUUAAACAGACUGCUUGAUGGAUUAGUUGAGGUGCACAUAAGAUUAAGGAAUGACCAACAACCCAAAUUUUAAAAAAGUAAAAGCACUUCAGAAUCUUCUGUGAAGAGUUGGAUCCAUUGACCUCCAAGUUAUGAUGGGAAUUUUCUUCAAUUUCAAGGAAUCGUAUAAUGGCUCAUCUGUUCAUUGUAUUUAUUAUCUUAGUUUCCUUAACCGCAUUCAUCAAUGCAACAUCUAUCAAGCUGACCUUUCUAAUUAUUGAUUCUCGUGGUUUUUCCCUUAUAGACAACAAAAGUGAGAUUUGUCUUUGAUGAUGAAGCUCUGAAGGUGAAAGUUGGGGAGCAACUCGCGGAGUCAGGUGAAGAUGUUUUUGUGGGUGGAAAGAACCGCUGGAAAUAUUUGUCAUUUGUGAACUGGGAGCUAUGGUGGCCAUCUUUUUCAAUUUUGCUAUAUUUUAAAGAGAAACAGACAAAACCCGAGGGACAAGUGCACUUUUUCCCAGUAAUAUUUAACGGGAAGCAACUGUAUAAUGUUAUGAUGGAGAGAUGUGGCCCUUCAAAAACUAGCGGACCAAAGUAGUGCAGCACGGGCUCCAGGGGAAGACGAAGAUGAACCAGACAAGCCAUAAGAUCAGACUUAGUAACAAGGAGUGUAAAGCUAGGUUGCUGAUGGAGCAGUUACAUGCCCUUCAAUUUCCUAUCAUUUAGUUGGCACCAAGAAAAUUCAGCAAGAGCUUACAAAGCCCAAUGUACUUGAAAGAUUUUUGGAAAACAAAGAUGACAUUACCACAACA